GAUGAACGCUAGCGGCAGGCUUAAUACAUGCAAGUCGAACGGGAUUUGAGUAGCAAUAUUCAAUGAGAGUGGCGCACGGGUGCGUAACGCGUAUGCAACCUACCUUUAACAGGGGGAUAGCCCGGAGAAAUCCGGAUUAAUACCCCAUAGAAUAUAAUUGUGGCCUCACAUUUAUAUUAAAGCUCCGGUGGUUAAAGAUGGGCAUGCGUGCCAUUAGCUAGUUGGUGAGGUAACGGCUCACCAAGGCGACGAUGGCUAGGGGUCCUGAGAGGGUUAUCCCCCACACUGGUACUGAGACACGGACCAGACUCCUACGGGAGGCAGCAGUAAGGAAUAUUGGGCAAUGGACGCAAGUCUGACCCAGCCAUGCCGCGUGCAGGAAGACGGCCUUAUGGGUUGUAAACUGCUUUUUANCAGGGAAUAAACCCUUGUUUGUAAACAAGGCUGAAGGUACCUGAAGAAUAAGCAUCGGCUAACUCCGUGCCAGCAGCCGCGGUAAAG
rnacentral:rRNA from 1 species